UAAAUUUGCAAGUUUUAAUAUAUAUUACUUUUUAAAAAUAAAUCAUCCCGCGGUAUACCGCGGGUUAAAAUCUAGUUUGACUUAUAAAGUCAACUGAUAAAACUUGAGUUU
rnacentral:sRNA from 1 species